GAUGAACGCUAGCUACAGGCUUAACACAUGCAAGUCGAGGGACCGGCGCACGGGUGAGUAACACGUAUCCCACCUGCCCUUUACUCGGGGAUAGCCUUUCGAAAGAACGAUUAAUACCCGAUAUAAAGGAUGGGGAUGCGUUCCAUUAGUUUGUUGGUGAGGUAACGGCUCACCAAGCCUUCGAUGGAUGGGGGUUCUGGGAGGAAGGCCCCCGACAUUGGAACUGAGACACGGACCAAAACCCGACGGGAGGCAGCAGUGAGGAACAGUGGUCAAUGGGCGCUAGCAGGAACCAGCCAAGUAGCGUGAAGGAUGAAGGCUUAUGGGGCGUCAAUUUCUUUUAUAUAAGAAUAUGUAUUAUAUGAAUAAGGAUCGGCUAACUCCGUGCCAGCAGCCGCGGUAAUAC
rnacentral:rRNA from 1 species